rnacentral:rRNA from 1 species
CCCAGACUCCUACGGGAGGCAGCAGUGGGGGAUAUUGCACAAUGGGGGAAACCCUGAUGCAGCGACGCCGCGUGAAUGAAGAAGUAUUUCGGUAUGUAAAGCUCUAUCAGCAGGGAAGAAAAAAGACGGUACCUGACUAAGAAGCCCCGGCUAACUACGUGCCAGCAGCCGCGGUAAUACGUAGGGGGCAAGCGUUAUCCGGAUUUACUGGGUGUAAAGGGAGCGUAGACGGCAAUACAAGUCGGAAGUGAAAUACCCGGGCUCAACCUGGGAACUGCUUUGGAAACUGUAUGGCUGGAGUGCUGGAGAGGUAAGCGGAAUCCCUAGUGUAGCGGUGAAAUGCGUAGAUAUUAGGAGGAACACCAGUGGCGAAGGCGGCUUACUGGACAGUAACUGACGUUGAGGCUCGAAAGCGUGGGGAGCAAACAGGAUUAGAUACCCCAGUA